UACGGGGGGGGCAAGCGUUGUUCGGAAUUACUGGGCGUAAAGGGCUCGUAGGCGGCCAACUAAGUCGGACGUGAAAUCCCUCGGCUUAACCGGGGAACUGCGUCCGAUACUGGAUGGCUUGAGUUCGGGAGAGGGAUGCGGAAUUCCAGGUGUAGCGGUGAAAUGCGUAGAUAUCUGGAGGCACACCGGUGGCGAAGGCGGUGAUCUGGGCCGACACUGACGCUGUAGAGCGAAAGCGUGGGGAGCGAACAGG
rnacentral:rRNA from 1 species